rnacentral:lncRNA from 1 species
AACCUUCAGACGUCGAUUUUCUCUGCACUCCAAGGUUGGUACUGUCCGUGAAGUUGAUUUUGAAAGACGGUUCCAAGAGCUCGGCCAGCAGUUGGACCAGAAAAUAUAAAAGACCCUCAAUAAUAAUAGUUCUUUGGCACUGUCCUACGAAGGGUAUAACAGUCAACCACCCUUCGCCUCAAGGAUUGUGUAGGAAUCACUCCCCUUGC